AAUGAACGUUGGCGGCGUGGAUUAGGCAUGCAAGUCGAGCGAGAACCCCGCAAGGGGGGACAGCGGCAUACGGGGUAGUAAUGUGUCGGAACGUGCCCUCUGGACGGGGAUAGCGGCGGGAAACUGCCGGUAAUACCCGAUGAACUCGAGAGAGCAAAGGUGUGAUUCCGCCGGAGGAGCGGCCGACAUGGUAUUAGCUAGUUGGCGGGGUAACGGCCCACCAAGGCUUUGAUGCCUAGGGGAUGUGAGAGCAUGAUCCCCACCAUUGGGACUGAGACACUGCCCAGACACCUACGGGUGGCUGCAGUCGAGAAUCUUCGUCAAUGGGCGAAAGCCUGAACGAGCGACGCCGCGUGCGGGAUGAAGGCCCUUGGGUUGUAAACCGCUGUCGAGGGGGAUGAAGGCUUGAAGGUACUCCUUCAAGUUUGACAGAGCCCUGGAGGAAGCACGGGCUAAGUUCGUGCCAGCAGCCGCCGUAAUAC
rnacentral:rRNA from 1 species